rnacentral:rRNA from 1 species
AGGACGAACGCUGGCGGCGUGCUUAACACAUGCAAGUCGAGCGGUGAUCCUCCUUCGGGAGGUGAUCAGCGGCGAACGGGUGAGUAACACGUGGGCGACCUGCCCUCACACUGGGAUAACCUCGGGAAACCGGGCUAAUACCGGAUACGACCUCGAGCGGCAUCUCUUGAGGUGGAAAGCUCCGACGGUGAGGGAUGGGCCCGCGGCCUAUCAGCUUGUUGGUGGGGUAAUGGCCUACCAAGGCGACGACGGGUA